rnacentral:rRNA from 1 species
GACGAACGCUGGCGGCGUGCCUAAUACAUGCAAGUCGAACGCUGAAGCUUGGUGCUUGCACCGAGCGGAUGAGUUGCGAACGGGUGAGUAACGCGUAGGUAACCUGCCUGGUAGCGGGGGAUAACUAUUGGAAACGAUAGCUAAUACCGCAUAAGAGUAGAUGUUGCAUGACAUUUGCUUAAAAGGUGCAAUUGCAUCACUACCAGAUGGACCCGCGUUGUAUUAGCUAGUUGGUGAGGUAACGGCUCACCAAGGCAACGAUACAUAGCCGACCUGAGAGGGUGAUCGGCCACACUGGGACUGAGACACGGCCCAGACUCCUACGGGAGGCAGCAGUAGGGAAUCUUCGGCAAUGGACGGAAGUCUGACCGAGCAACGCCGCGUGAGUGAAGAAGGGUGUCGGAUCGUAAAGCUCUGUUGUAAGAGAAGAACGAGUGUGAGAGUGGAAAGUUCACACUGUGACGGUAGCUGACCAGAAAGGGACGGCUAACUACGUG